rnacentral:tRNA from 1 species
UCAAGCGGUAAUUUAAGUUAAAAUAAGGGCAUUGGGAGCCUUUAAUCUUCUGUUUAUGGAAGUUGCUUG